UGUCCUGGGUAAAGGCUCUCACACUGUAGAACUCAGCUUGUAUCAGCUACAGGUGUAAUUUACCUGCUGUGUUCGACAUUGGAUACGAUAUAGGAAUCAAAGUUAUUCAAACUUUUUUUUAUGACUACAAGAUAGCAACUCCGAAGAGAAAGAUACGACUGCAUCAAUACUGAGAUUUGAAAGCACACCUGACUAAACAAGACUGAAGUAAACUGCUCCCUUCAGACACAAUCAGAGCCGUAGAGGAGCUGAAAGCAGAAGGUAUCCCAUUCUUGCAGAACUAUAAGGCCUACAGUGAAAGCAAGAGCCCAGUGCACACUGCCGGAUCCAGAGAGGGUUUCAGGAGGACGGAUCCAUGUGGCUAAGCACCUUGACAACCUGUGGCAAAAAUGUGUGUUUGCUCAAUAGAUGAUUUUACCCACACACCGCUACUGCUCUGGACCCCAAGACUGGCCACCCAUCUCUGAUCUUGUCGAGGAUUUGACAAGUGUGAGACUUGGGCAUGGGACAUAUCAGCUUCCUGACAACGCAGAAUGGUUCUGGGCUCUGAGGGCUUUAAACUCAGGGACAAACAACUUAGAUGUUGAGGUUGAGGACAGUAUAUGCUGGUUCCUGGGUGUGAUCACAGAGUCUGCCCCGAGGAAAGGAGUCAUACCCAGUGGAUUCGUGUUUAUAUUGUAAUGGAGCUUAUUCUGACUACUCAGAAGAAUCCCCACCAAAGCCAGACAGASACCACAGAGGAUCAGAGUGCAGCUGGACAGGGACAGAAGAAAGACCCUAUAAAUAACACACACCGACACACAUUCACAGGAACUUUAACUGAGACAGUCUUUCCCUGCUUUUCUCAUUUCUGUGAAUGCCAGUCUUUAAAGAUCUUGCCAUGGCAUCUAUAAAAGAACAGCAGAAAGAGCGGAUAAUGUCUCUUACUAGUUGUAUUUAUUUGAACUUCAUGCUAAAAUUGUUGAUAGUACAAGAGUUGCCACCUUGUCCAGUUUUAGUGGAAUAUUCCGUUUUUUCUCCUAUCUUGCUGACCAAUUACAUGGAAAUACAAAACCAUACUGUAACUGCUAUUCCUUAUUCCACGACUAGAGCAAAUAACGUUUUUUUCUUUUCUUCCGCCUAUCAAUGGAACAGCAGUAUAUGGUAAUGUAUCUUACCAAAGCAUUACACCAACCUACAAUCCUAACCCACUAUGACAACCCCAUUAUUUAAUGUUCUCUCAAUAGUGAAACAGAACUGUUGCAAGCAUACAAUGUUUCUUCAGAAGUGCUGUGGUGUAGGUASAUUAUGUAGAUACAGCCUGUAGAGGGAGAUGGAGUCCCAGGCCAGGGGUCAGAGCCAAUAGCACAGAAGUAAUCAAUGCUUAACAAACUUUUUUUAUCAUGUGGUCAAUAUACACAAAUAUACAUUCUCCAAGUUGAAGAAUCUCAACAAUGUUAAGGAUUUGAGGCAAACAAUUGCAUAAGACAAGAAAUAAGGGUCCGUCUUUCUAAUAUGAAAAUGGAUAGUACAUUUACUAAUUGUAUCAUAUUACCAAUGGUUGAAAAAGUACUUAAUUGUCAUACUUGAGUAAAAUUAAAGAUACCUUGAUAGAAAAUUACUCAAGUAAAAGUGACAG